AUGGAUGUCCAAACGUAGACAUUGUCUACAUCCUCCUCCACGACGUCCACAUUUCCACCACCGAGCGACGACGUCCAAAUCGCCCGCGCUCGCUCCCGCCACCACCCCGAAACUUCCCGCCCCAACCGUUCCAGCCAAGGUCGUUCGCGCUGCCGUGGAGAGGUCGCCGUCGACUCGCCUCCACCGUCCGUCGUGAGAUGGAUGAAGAUCAAAGUUUCCUGGACAUGUUGAGUUUUGGUGCCUCACAAUAACUGCCGUGUAGUCCACUUGGAGAGCAAGAGGUGCCAGCAACUCAAGAAUGUUUUGCAGCUGUGAAAGCAAAAUCCACGAAAGGAAAGAAUUGGUCUAGUGACGAGGACAAGGUGUUGAUACAAGCAUGGGCACACACUAGUUUGGAUGCAUGAUUGGCACAGAUCAACAAUAAAGUUCAUAUUGGGGUAGGAUUUUAGACUACUACAACAAACACAAGAAUUCGUCAUGGCCAGAGCGUAAUCCAAAUGCAAUCAAUUGUUGUUGGAACACUAUCCGGGAACAGACCAAUAAGUUUUGUGGAUGCUGCCAGCAGAAUAUUAAUAGAAAUUGUAGUGGGCAGACUAUUGAUCAGAAGCAAGCCGAGGCACAUCUUUUGUACAAGACCAAAGAUCCUAAAGGCAGGCCAUUUACACUAGUGCAUUGCUAUUUAGAGUUGGAGAAGUUUCCAAAGUGGCAGACUCGCUCUUCUCAGAAAAAGCAAAAGAAGACAUCUGAUGCAAGUCUGGGUACAACCUGUACUGAUGAUGACAUCGGGGCACACACAGAUGAUCUUGAAACAGAGAAGAGACCGCUUGGUACGAAGCGAGAGAAAGAACGCCGACGCAAAGGUAAAGCUUCUGCAUCUGAUGGUGAUGGUUGCUCCCCAAAGACCUCACAAAUAGCUAUCACAAACUUCUUGCAAGCCGCUAGAUUAGUAGUUUCCGCAGACCGGACGUACUCAUCCGCACCAUCAGCUGCUAUUCCAUAAGUUAGCAUCCGCAUUGCCGCGGCCAUCUUCUGCAAAGGAUGCAACCCAAGGGCCCCAGCAGCAUUUCUUUUUUGCUUAAAAUAUCUAUUCUUCUCGUCCGAAUGUUCAUGCUCAUGCUCAAGUAUAGCUAGAGCUAUGUGAUUAAACAAAUUACGGGACAUUCUACACCUGUGCGUAAUUUUUUUUAAUGAGAUAAAGAAGCAAAAAGCAAGCGAACA